rnacentral:ncRNA from 2 species
UUGUAUUCGUUCUUUGGAAAUGUAAUUAUCCGAUUGUCAAGAAGGGAACACGGUUUAAAUCCGUGACGGUCGCGCCGCUGUAAGCGCCAUGCCUGAAAAUUCAGGCUGUUGAAAAAAGUUGUACCACUGUUCGAUAAGAACGGGAAGGUUUUUUUCGAUAUGGGCGUAAGUCAGAAAACCUGUUGGUGAUUGGUUGUUUGU